CAUAAGCCUGCACUCUCAGGAGGGGUCAAAAAAUGUACUGGUGUUAUCACAGACAUUCAAAUUAACCCAGGCCCAGUUCACACUUCUGGACAGGGGCCUCUCUUUCAUCCCCACUAGGGGGAGCCAGAGCAACAUCAUUGAGCAAAGCAGAUGGGACCUGCAGCAAUAUCAUAGGAGAAUCAAACUCCAGGUUUAUUUUCAAAACAAAAAAGAUGUGAUUUUCACCCCCUUUACCCAAAAAUCUGAUUGGAGCCCCCCCCUGUCUAAAUUGCCACCAGAAAUCACUGACCUCAUCCAAACGGAUGUUCAUUAUUUUGAAAACAAUUUCCAGCCAAUCUCAAUCAGGAACAAUUUGAACCAGGAGGAAAUUGAAGCCCUCAAGGAACUAAAAGAAAACAAAAAUAUCAUUAUAAAACCAGCAGAUAAAGGCAGUGCAGUAGUGGUGAUGGACAGGGAACAAUAUUUAUUUGAGGGCAACAGACAGCUAACAGACAAAAAAUAUUAUUCUGUCCUAAAGGAACCAAUCUACCCUGAAACUAAAAAAAUGGUGCAACCAAUUAUCCAAGCAUUAUUAGACAAAAAAUUUAUCAACAAAAAACAAUACACUUACCUGCUGGGCAAUCCGAUCCCCCGGCCCAGACUGUUUUACCUGCUGCCCAAGAUACAUAAAGAGCCCUCAAAAUGGAGUGUCCCCUUUGAAAUCCCACCUGGGAGGCCUAUUGUCUCUGAUUGUGACAGUGAGACCUACUACACGGCCCAAUUUAUUGAUUAUUAUAUCAAUCCACUUUCUAAUAGACACUUCGGCUAUCUCAAGGACACUUACCACUUUGUCAAUACGGUUAAACAACUCCAUAUCCCCCCCAACUCCAUCCUGUUCACUAUGGAUGUUGACAGUUUAUACACCAAUAUUGACAUUGAUGAAGGCAUACAGGCCAUAAAAAACAUAUUCUCAAAAUUUCCAGACAAAAAGAGACCUGAUAAGGAACUAUUACAACUCCUUGCAAUCAAUCUGAGGAGAAAUGAUUUUGAAUUUGACAACAAAUUUUAUUUACAAAUUAAAGGCACUGCCAUGGGCAAAAAAUUUGCACCGGCAUAUGCCAACAUCUUCAUGGCCGAAUGGGAGACCUCCGCCCUGGCAGCCUGCAACAAAAAACCAUUACAUUAUUAUAGAUAUCUGGAUGACAUCUGGGGGGUCUGGCCCCCCUCUUUGGAAGAAUUUGACCAAUUUGUACUCACCUUGAAUAAUCACAACCCGUCCAUCACAUUGAAGUCCUCCACUAGCACCACGUCGGUCGACUUCCUGGAUACCACCACCUACAAGGGGAUCAAUUUCCAGCAUACAAACAAAUUAGACAUUAAAGUUUUCUUCAAAGAAACAGACACCCAUGCCCUGCUUUAUAAAACCAGCCACCACCCCAAACACACAUACAGGGGCCUAUUGAAAUCACAAUUACUCCGUUUCCACCGUAUCUGCACCCACAAAAGCGACUUCAUGGCGGCCACUAAAACGCUUUUCAGAGCUCUCGCCACCAGGGGCUAUGUACGCUCCUUCCGUCGGAAGGCCCUCANNNNNNNNNNNNNNNNNN
rnacentral:lncRNA from 15 species